CUAACUUAUCUAGAUAGUUUAGAUAAGUUAUCUUCACUGUUAAGCCCGUAAGUUAUAGAGGGUCCACACCCACGACACGGGUCAAACGUUCCCGAUUAUAAUGAUAAGCAUAUUGUUCCACCAGCUGAGGUGCCAGCUGUUGCCUGGGUGCAUAUUGUUCCACCAGCUGAGGUGCCAGCUGUUGCCUGGGUGCAUAUUGUUCCACCAGCUGAGGUGCCAGCUGUUGCCUGGGUGGAGAAUGCGAGACCACGGCUCUACUACACACGACCUCCCUCACUAUCACCUUCAUUGUAACCUCAUCACUACUAUGGCCUCCAAGAUUCAAAUAUUGAGCAUCACAUCUCACUGUCAACACUACAGUACAUUUAACGGCCUAGGCCUAAUAUAAUAGGCCUAAAUAUAACAUGGGCUACAUUAGAUCUAGGAUACGUUAAAUUAUUCCUAGGACAGGUGUCUGCUUAUAUUUUAUUUUUCGUUUAUUCCCGUCUUCCAGUAUACGGAACUUCAGUAGUAUAAACUUCAGAUUUGUUUGAUUAAAAUAACUAUUUUGCAUAUAACUACAUGGUUUUAAAGUUUCCGGCUAUGGUUGGCAACUCGUACGAUUCAUUUCGUAAAGAAUAUAGUUAUAUGGGUGCAACUGUUCAUAUAUUGCAUAUAUGAUUGUUGCUAUAUGGAGGAGGAGGAGACACAUAUGCAAGACACAUAUAUAUUAUAGUAUAUGUACUAUAAUUUUAGAGGUUGUGCAGUGGAGUUACGAGGCUAGAAACACAGAUUCUGUAUCAAUGAAAUUAUGAUAACGUUGCAGACGCCGAGACACUAUCAUGGCUGAAGAUAACAAUUAAUUAUACUCCAGGACGGACCCAAACGUAAAUUCAUUAUUUGGAGAUCUGUGAGUGGGUGUCUACGGUAGCGUCUUAAGUCUUCAAUAAGCCGGUGGCCAAGAUAUACGAGAAAGUGCAGAGACAGUAUGACAAGCAGACUAGUGGGUGUGUCCAGGAUGACUCUUACACCAGCCCUGGGGCGUCUUGGGGCCACCCACACAACUUGACGCACUUCUCAACACUGGCUGGACCGGUCUACCUUGGAGGACUGUAGUAAGGAAGUCAAGCAUCACAGCGGGUCAUGCGUAGUUACGCAAAACGUAGCUUGCUGAAGCUUACUUUCUGAUCAAAGGUGAAGGCGAGGCGCAGUUGCACACAACAGCUUCCAUAGACGUCUGCAAAAGUCCUAUCUCGACCUUCAGACAUGACACCCUCUCUACCUUCCAGGAUGAGCCUCCCAACUUCUUGGUUCCUAUCAACUAUCAACAUCAGUUUAUUAAAAUUGUGUGAAUCAGAACGAGACACUGCUUCCAUUGGUGUAAAACCUCAUCUUCCAGAUUCCGACUGAGGACAUCUGUCAAGCGGAGGACAUCUGUUAAAGCAGAACCAAGCUUGCUGACUCGGAUAAAUAUCAAAUAAAUGACGAGGCCACAUUACCUGCUAUAAUGCCUUUCAGUCCUAUAUUGCCCCCUCCAGCUGGCGCAGCAGCACCCGUCUGUGUCAUCCACGGCCUUAAAAAAGGCGACCUAAAUGCGGGAGAGGGACAAUCCAUGCUCGCCUCACCGUGCACCUCCGUCGACGUCAACCAAAAUACAACCAGCUGAGACUCAGCUGAUCGUGGCGCCACCACUCGUGAACCCUGCCCAAGUUAUCAUAAACUAGGAUUUUAAUAUUUCAAUCAGCGCCUUACGAUAGCUAUGCUGACAUACAUGAUGAGUACAUUUUUGAUCUAGUAAAUUAUAAAAUAUUUAAAGGUGUAAACAAAAUAUGUAGCGAAAGACCAUGUAUAAAACAACAUGGACUAAAUUAUUAUGUAACACAGAGAAUGUACCCCAUGUGUUACAUAACCCUCAAAGUCUAUAUUUUUAGCUACAGGAAAGAUUUAGUCUACUGAGAUAUAUAAAUCGUGUUUAUCUGUGCAACAUAAAUCUUAUUAAAAUUUAAAGAAAGCGCGUCAUUGAUGCGCUCUGAAAUAUUGUACGCCUGGCAGCGACAAGUACUCCUAUCACAGUUCUCAUAAUUUGCGGAGACAUAUAUUAGCGUUAGUAUCGUACUCGCUAAAUUUAUCUAAUGGACAUCAUCCUUAGUGGCCUCGGCUGGGGAAAAAAAUCCGCUGUCAUAUACAAAACGUUUAUAAUAUAAAAUUUGUCACUCAAAUAAUCCAUCUCAUUUACUUAAUACGAUUUAACAAACGCAGGCGAAACCCAAUAAUUUAAGACAAUGUGUCCUGAGAGGUCAUUGGGUCCAAUUGACAGAAAGAAAACCAAUAAUAAACCAUGAAUG